ACUCCUACGGGAGGCAGCAGUGGGGAAUAUUGGACAAUGGGCGAAAGCCUGAUCCAGCCAUGCCGCGUGUGUGAAGAAGGUCUUCGGAUUGUAAAGCACUUUAAGUUGGGAGGAAGGGCAGUAAGUUAAUACCUUGCUGUUUUGACGUUACCAACAGGAUAAGCACCGGCUAACUUCGUGCCAGCAGCCGCGGUAAUACGAAGGGUGCAAGCGUUAAUCGGAAUUACUGGGCGUAAAGCGCGCGUAGGUGGUUCAGCAAGUUGGAUGUGAAAUCCCCCGGGCUCAACCUGGGGAACUGCAUCCAAAACUACUGAGCUAGAGUACGGUAGAGGUGUGGAAUUUCCUGUGUAGCGGUGAAAUGCGUAGAUAUAGGAAGGAACACCAGUGGCGAAGGCGACCACCUGGACUGAUACUGACACUGAGGUGCGAAAGCGUGGGGGCAAACAGGAUUAGAUACCCUGGUA
rnacentral:rRNA from 1 species